rnacentral:rRNA from 1 species
GAUGAACGCUGGCGGCGUGCUUAACACAUGCAAGUCGAACGGGAAACCUUUUAAUGAAGCUUCGGCAGAUUUAGCUGGUUUCUAGUGGCGGACGGGUGAGUAACGCGUGGGUAACCUGCCUUAUACAGGGGGAUAACAGUCAGAAAUGACUGCUAAUACCGCAUAAGCGCACAGGACCGCAUGGUCCGGUGUGAAAAACUCCGGUGGUAUAAGAUGGACCCGCGUUGGAUUAGCUUGUUGGUGGGGUAACGGCUCACCAAGGCGACGAUCCAUAGCCGGCCUGAGAGGGUGAACGGCCACAGUGGGACUGAGACACGGCCCAGACUCCUACGGGAGGCAGCAGUGGGGAAUAUUGCACAAUGGGGGAAACCCUGAUGCAGCGACGCCGCGUGAAGGAAGAAGUAUCUCGGUAUGUAAACUUCUAUCAGCAGGGAAGAUAGUGACGGUACCUGACUAAGAAGCCCCGGCUAACUACGUG